AAGAAGACUGCAUAAACUGGGCGUGUCAAAGGUCACCCAAGUGGAUUUCCUGCCAAGGGAAGUAGUGUCCUACUCAAAGGAGACCCAGACUCCUCUUGCCACGCAUCAGUCUGAAGAGGAUGAGGAAGAUGAGGAAAUGGUGGAACCUAAAGUUGGCCAGGACUCAGAACUGGAAAAUCAGGACAAAAAACAGGAAGUGAAGGAAGCCCCUCCAAGAGAGCUGACAGAGGAAGAAAAACAGCAGAUCCUUCAUUCAGAGGAAUUUCUCAUCUUUUUUGACCGGACAAUACGGGUAAUUGAAAGAGCCCUGGCUGAAGAUUCCGACAUCUUUUUUGACUACAGCGGCCGAGAGUUAGAGGAAAAAGAUGGGGAUGUUCAGGCUGGAGCCAAUCUUUCUUUCAAUCGUCAGUUCUAUGAUGAGCAUUGGUCCAAGCAUCGAGUGGUCACUUGUAUGGACUGGUCCCUCCAGUACCCUGAGUUGAUGGUGGCUUCUUACAACAACAAUGAAGAUGCUCCCCAUGAACCAGAUGGAGUGGCCUUGGUUUGGAACAUGAAGUUUAAGAAAACCACACCAGAAUACGUCUUCCACUGUCAGUCCUCUGUGAUGUCGGUCUGCUUCGCCCGUUUCCAUCCUAACUUGGUGGUUGGUGGGACUUACUCGGGCCAGAUUGUCCUCUGGGACAAUCGCAGUCAUCGAAGGACUCCAGUGCAGCGGACGCCCUUAUCAGCUGCUGCACACACG
rnacentral:sRNA from 1 species